UGAAGAAGAAGAAGAAGAAGCAACUCUAAAUGAACAAUCAACGCGCUCGCGUCAAGUAACCUUUACCUGUACCUGCAACUGGUGUUGUAGUAACCUGUGAGCCACAGGGGACUCAGCAAUCUCAUUUCCAAAGGUAUCAAGACUAGCAAAGCUUAAUGGGUGAGGCAUGGUUAAGUGGUGAGGUUGCAGCAGCGGCUAAGCAUAUAUUUGGUGGCUAACUUACGAGUACAAGAAGUAAGAGGGGGAAGAUCUACGCAUAGCGGACGUGAACUACAGAUGAUCAAAUGAAUGAUCCUGAACACCUACCUACGUUAGACAUAACCCCACCGUGUCCUCGAUCGGAGAAGGAACUCACGAAAGAGACAGUCACGGUUACGCACACAGUUAGCAAGUUUUAAUUAAGUUAACUUCAAGAUAUCUAGAACAAGUGUUAAACAAAGUUUCCACGUUGCCACAUAACCGCGGGCACGGCUUUCCGAAAGAUUUAAC
rnacentral:lncRNA from 1 species